GUGGGGGAUAACGUAGCGAAAGCUACGCUAAUACCGCAUACGAUCUAUGGAUGAAAGCGGGGGACCGUAAGGCCUCGCGCGAUUGGAGCGGCCGAUAUCAGAUUAGGUAGUUGGUGGGGUAAAGGCCUACCAAGCCGACGAUCUGUAGCUGGUCUGAGAGGACGACCAGCCACACUGGGACUGAGACACGGCCCAGACUCCUACGGGAGGCAGCAGUGGGGAAUUUUGGACAAUGGGCGCAAGCCUGAUCCAGCAAUGCCGCGUGCAGGAUGAAGGCCUUCGGGUUGUAAACUGCUUUUGUACGGAGCGAAAAGGCUCUCUCUAAUACAGGGGGCUCAUGACGGUACCGUA
rnacentral:rRNA from 1 species